rnacentral:misc_RNA from 1 species
AGGUGUUACCUUAACACGUACGCCUUUAGGUGAAGAGAUGUGAAGAGAGUAGACUGAGUUGGGCUUGCCAACGUUUGUAAUUGUUCUUGAAUAUAUCUGUGGAGUAGAUCCCAAUUCGAUAGAAAAUGAAGGGUAAUUCAGCUGAGCUUCAGGAAUGCUUGAAUCAUUUGAGCACUUCACUUUGCGCUUCACUAUAAGCCCUACAUGUUUGUCAGAAUAACCAAGACCACAUAAGUAAGGAACGUAAUCAUCAGGUUUGAGGUCAUAAAUAAGCCCUGGAUCACUUGCUCUUGAUGGGUUCACAUGGCCUGCACCGAUGUCAAAGACAAUAGCCGGACGAUACUUUCUUUGUUCAGGAAUAGGCUUGCCUGCAUGGUUGUACAAAGAAGCAGUGGUCAUGAUGGCAGAUUUUAUAGCAGCAGGUGACCAAUU